rnacentral:rRNA from 1 species
GACGAACGCUGGCGGCCUGCUUAACACAUGCAAGUCGAACGGUAAGGCCCUUCGGGGUACACGAGUGGCGAACGGGUGAGUAACACGUGGGUGAUCUGCCCUGCACUUCGGGAUAAGCCUGGGAAACUGGGUCUAAUACCGGAUAGGACCCUGGGAUGCAUGUCCUGGGGUGGAAAGCUUUUGCGGUGUGGGAUGGGCCCGCGGCCUAUCAGCUUGUUGGUUGGGUGAUGGCCUACCAAGGCGACGACGGGUAGCCGGCCUGGGAGGGUGACCGGCCACACUGGGACUGAGAUACGGCCCAGACCCCUACGGGAGGCAGCAGUGGGGAAUAUUGCACAAUGGGCGAAAGCCUGAUGCAGCGACGCCGCGUGAGGGAUGACGGCCUUCGGGUUGUAAACCUCUUUCAGCACCGACGAAGCGCAAGUGACGGUAGGUGCAGAAGAAGGACCGGCCAACUACGUGCCAGCCGCCGCAGUAA